rnacentral:rRNA from 1 species
UACGGAGGAUGCAAGCGUUAUCCGGAAUGAUUGGGCGUAAAGGGUCCGCAGGUGGCAGUGUAAGUCUGCUGUCAAAGAAUGAGGCUUAACCUCAUCAAGGCAGUGGAAACUACACAGCUAGAGUACGGUCGGGGUAGAAGGAAUUCCUGGUGUAGCGGUGAAAUGCGUAGAGAUCAGGAAGAACACCGGUGGCGAAAGCGUUCUGCUAGACCUGUACUGACACUGAGGGGCGAAAGCUAGGGGAGCGAAUGGG